rnacentral:rRNA from 1 species
GUGUCAGCAGCCGCGGUAAGACGAACCGUGCGAACGUUAUUCGGAAUCACUGGGCUUAAAGCGCGUGUAGGUGGGACGGCACGUCGGUCGUUGAAAUCCCCCGGCUCAACCGGGGAAGGGGCGCCGAUACGACCGUCCUGGAGGGACGUAGGGGGACCUGGAACUUCCGGUGGAGCGGUGAAAUGCGUUGAGAUCGGAAGGAACGCCCGUGGCGAAAGCGAGGUCCUGGACGUUUUCUGACACUGAGACGCGAAAGCCAGGGGAGCGAACGGGAUUAGAUACCCCGGUAGUCC